UACGGGGGGGGGUAAGCGUUGUUCGGAAUUACUGGGCGUAAAGGGCUCGUAGGCGGCCAACUAAGUCAUACGUGAAAUCCCUCAGCUUAACUGGGGAACUGCGUGUGAUACUGGAUGGCUUGGAUUUGGGAGAGGGAUGCGGAAUUCCAGGUGUAGCGGUGAAAUGCGUAGAGAUCGGAAAGAACACCAAUGGCGAAAGCACUCUGCUGGGCCGACACUGACACUGAGAGACGAAAGCUAGGGGAGCGAAUGGG
rnacentral:rRNA from 1 species